rnacentral:rRNA from 1 species
UACAGAGGUGGCAAGCGUUGUUCGGAAUUACUGGGCGUAAAGGGCGCGUAGGCGGCCUUCUAAGUCAGACGUGAAAUCCCCCGGCUUAACCUGGGAACUGCGUCUGAUACUGGAGGGCUUGAGUGCGGGAGAGGGAUGUGGAAUUCCAGGUGUAGCGGUGAAAUGCGUAGAUAUCUGGAGGAACACCGGUGGCGAAGGCGGCAUCCUGGACCAACACUGACGCUGAGGAGCGAAAGCCAGGGGAGCAAACGGG